UUAUUGUAUGGAAGGAGAGAAGGUUAGCACUCCCCUUGGGCCUGACACAUACAGUUAAGGUACUGCCACCUACUUUGUGGCAUCUAACCACUGUUUUGG
ensembl:snRNA